rnacentral:rRNA from 1 species
UACGUAGGGAGCGAGCGUUAUCCGGAAUUAUUGGGUGUAAAGGGUGCGUAGACGGGUAAAUAAGUUAGUUGUGAAAUCCCUCGGCUCAACUGAGGAACUGCAACUAAAACUGUAUAUCUUGAGUGCGGGAGAGGAAAGUGGAAUUCCUAGUGUAGCGGUGAAAUGCGUAGAUAUUAGGAGGAACACCAGUGGCGAAGGCGACUUACUGGACUGUAAAUGACGCUGAGGCUCGAAAGCGUGGGGAGCAAACAGG